rnacentral:rRNA from 1 species
UACGGAGGGUGCAAGCGUUGUUCGGAAUUAUUGGGCGUAAAGCGCGUGUAGGCGGCUUGAUAAGUCUGAUGUGAAAGCCCCGGGCUCAACCUGGGAAGUGCAUUGGAUACUGUCAGACUUGAAUACGGGAGAGGGUAGUGGAAUUCCUAGUGUAGGAGUGAAAUCCGUAGAUAUUAGGAGGAACACCGGUGGCGAAGGCGGCUACCUGGACCGAUAUUGACGCUGAGACGCGAAAGCGUGGGGAGCAAACAGG